UGGUUGAUUAGAUAAUUGCAUUAAUGAGAAAUUGAACAGGUGUUCCUAAUAAUCAUUUAGGUGAGUGUACAAUCGGAGAAACCUUUGAGCUUAAAUUCCUCA